rnacentral:rRNA from 1 species
UACGUAGGGUCCGAGCGUUGUCCGGAAUUAUUGGGCGUAAAGGGCUCGUAGGCGGUUUGUCGCGUCGGGAGUGAAAACACGGGGCUUAACCCCGUGCCUGCUUCUGAUACGGGCAGACUAGAGGUAUGCAGGGGAGAACGGAAUUCCUGGUGUAGCGGUGAAAUGCGCAGAUAUCAGGAGGAACACCGGUGGCGAAGGCGGUUCUCUGGGCAUUACCUGACGCUGAGGAGCGAAAGCGUGGGGAGCGAACCGG